UCCUAGCCGUAAACGGUGAACACUAGGUGUGUCCCGAGUUAUCGGGAUGUGCCGAAGCUAACGCAUUAAGUGUUCCGCCUGGGGAGUACGCUCGCAAGGGUGAAACUCAAAGGAAUUGACGGGGGCCCGCACAAGCGGUGGAGCAUGUGGUUUAAUUCGAUGCUACGCGAAGAACCUUACCUGGGUUUGACAUUGUAGUGAAAUUUUAUGGAAACAUAGAACCUCCAGCAAUGGACACUAUAACAGGUGCUGCAUGGCUGUCGUCAGCUCGUGUCGUGAGAUGUUGGGUUAAGUCCCGCAACGAGCGCAACCCUUAUCCUUA
rnacentral:rRNA from 1 species